rnacentral:lncRNA from 1 species
AAGAAGCCUCGCUGAUUUAGGGGGCUUUCCCACUGCUCACGAAGAUUCCCAAAGCUUAUGCUGUCUCAGCGCUCUUCGAAAAUUCUUAGAGUGCUUAGUAAGCCACAAAGACUCUUCCUCCUCCUGAUCAUGCACCUCGUUCUGACUCACCAUCACUCCCUGACCUAACUCCUCCACUUCUUCUCCUUUAAUCUCCCCUUCCUCUAACUGAUAACUAUCCUCAACUGGCUCCACAACUGGCUCUGAAUUCACCACCGUCGACUCCUUUACCCGAAACAGAGACGCAUAGUCCUGA